rnacentral:rRNA from 1 species
UACGAAGGGGCUAGCGUUGCUCGGAAUCACUGGGCGUAAAGCGCACGUAGGCGGAUUGUUAAGUCAGGGGUGAAUCCUGGAGCUCAACUCCAGAACUGCCUUUGAUACUGGCGAUCUUGAGUCCGGGAGAGGUGAGUGGAACUGCGAGUGUAGAGGUGAAAUUCGUAGAUAUUCGCAAGAACACCAGUGGCGAAGGCGGCUCACUGGCCCGGUACUGACGCUGAGGCACGAAAGCGUGGGGAGCAAACAGG